AUGAAGAGGAGGUGGAGAGUGGUGGGGAGGGGAUCUUCCGAGAGCGGGAUGAGUUUGUCAUACGUGUUGAGGAUGUUCAGGCUCUCAGGCUUGCACUUCAGACUGGCCGGGAACCACCUCCAAUCUGGAGAGUACAGAAAGCUUUGCUUCAGAAGUUUACACCUGAAAUUAAGGAUGGGCAGCGACAGUUCUGUGCAACCAGCAAUUAUCUGGGCUAUUUUGGUGAUGCCAAGAACCGUUACCAACGACUCUAUGUUAAAUUCUUGGAGAAUAUCAACAAGAAAGAUUAUGUCCG